UAGAAGACACAAAUGGUGAAGCUUGAAAUUCAAAUAUGAACUGCUUUCUCACAUCUUCACAAAGAGCUAGCAACUACUGAAGCUUCUUUACAAUAAGAGCCAAUGAUAUAGAGGCCAGAAGAGUCGUCUUGAGUUCCAGCUCACACACGUCUUUGCCAUUCACCCACUGGAGCUCACCUCUUCCAUUUGGACGAGAUUCUAGCAGAAACUGCUGCAUCGAUACAGAAUUUUCUCAUUUUUGUGAUAUAACCAGCAUCCACAUUCCUGAAAUAUUCCAGACUUGGUAAAGAAUUUUUAAAGCUUGUUGGAAGAGAUCCUUUAGAAGAUUAUGGGAAAUAAACUAUCUUCAAUCACACACAAAAAAGUGAAAGCAGGAGUUCCCACCAUG